rnacentral:tRNA from 1 species
AGAUGUAUCUUCUAGUGGCUAAGAAGGCGGUCUUAUGAGCCGUUAACCUGGGUUCGAUUCCCAGUACAUCUA